CUGUGAGACAGGUGCUGCAUGGCUGUCGUCAGCUCGUGUUGUGAAAUGUUGGGUUAAGUCCCGCAACGAGCGCAACCCUUAUCCUUUGUUGCCAGCGGUUAGGCCGGGAACUCAAAGGAGACUGCCAGUGAUAAACUGGAGGAAGGUGGGAUGACGUCAAGUCAUCAUGGCCCUUACGACCAGGGCUACACACGUGCUACAAUGGCAUAUACAAAGAGAAGCGACCUCGCGAGAGCAAGCGGACCUCAUAAAGUAUGUCGUAGUCCGGAUUGGAGUCUGCAACUCGACUCCAUGAAGUCGGAAUCGCUAGUAAUCGUAGAUCAGAAUGCUACGGUGAAUACGUUCCCGGGCCUUGUACACACCGCCCGUCACACCAUGGGAGUGGGUUGCAAAAGAAGUAGGUAGCUUAACCUUCGGGAGGGCGCUUACCACUUUGUGAUUCAUGACUGGGGUGAAGUCGUAACAAGGUAACCGUAGGGGAACCUGCGGUUGGAUCACCUCCUUACCUUAAAGAA
rnacentral:rRNA from 1 species